rnacentral:rRNA from 1 species
GAUGAACGCUGGCGGCGUGCCUAAUACAUGCAAGUCGAGCGAACGGACGAGAAGCUUGCUUCUCUGAUGUUAGCGGCGGACGGGUGAGUAACACGUGGACAACCUACCUAUAAGACUGGGAUAACUUCGGGAAACCGUAGCUAAUACCGGAUAAUAUUUUGAACCGCAUGGUUCAAAAGUGAAAGACGGUCUUGCUGUCACUUAUAGAUGGAUCCGCGCUGCAUUAGCUAGUUGGUAAGGUAACGGCUUACCAAGGCAACGAUGAAUAGCCGACCUGAGAGGGUGAUCGGCCACACUGGAACUGAGACACGGUCCAGACUCCUACGGGAGGCAGCAGUAGGGAAUCUUCCGCAAUGGGCGAAAGCCUGACGGAGCAACGCCGCGUGAGUGAUGAAGGUCUUCGGAUCGUAAAACUCUGUUAUUAGGGAAGAACAUAUGUGUAAGUAACUGUGCACAUCUUGACGGUACCUAAUCAGAAAGCCGCGGCUAACUACGUG